GGCAGUGUAGCAUAGGGGUAAGGAAUAGGGCUUGUAACCAAAAGGUUGCUGGUUCGAUUCCUCACUGGGG
rnacentral:tRNA from 1 species